rnacentral:rRNA from 1 species
ACAACCCCCUCCUUUUUUAAAAUUUCCUAUUAGGGAGGAAAAGAAACCAACAGGGAUUGCCUUAGUAGCGGCGAGUGAAGCGGCAAAAGCUCAAAUUUGAAAUCUGGCGCCUUCGGUGUCCGAGUUGUAAUUUGAAGAUUGUAACCUUGGGGUUGGCUCUUGUCUAUGUUUCUUGGAACAGGACGUCACAGAGGGUGAGAAUCCCGUGCGAUGAGAUGCCCAAUCCUAUGUAAGGUGCUUUCGAAGAGUCGAGUUGUUUGGGAAUGCAGCUCUAAGUGGGUGGUAAAUUCCAUCUAAAGCUAAAUAUUGGCGAGAGACCGAUAGCGAACAAGUACAGUGAUGGAAAGAUGAAAAGAACUUUGAAAAGAGAGUGAAAAAGUACGUGAAAUUGUUGAAAGGGAAGGGUUUGAGAUCAGACUCGAUAUUUUGUGAGCCUUGCCUUCGUGGCGGGGUGACCCGCAGCUUAUCGGGCCAGCAUCGGUUUGGGCGGUAGGAUAAUGGCGUAGGAAUGUGACUUUACUUCGGUGAAGUGUUAUAGCCUGCGUUGAUGCUGCCUGCCUAGACCGAGGACUGCGAUUUAUCAACGAUGCUGCAUAAGCACCGUUGGGUGUU